GGAGAGGUGUCUGAGCGGUCGAAAGAGCACGCCUGGAAAGUGUGUAUACGGCAACGUAUCGAGAGUUCGAAUCUCUCCGUCACCGCCA
rnacentral:tRNA from 1 species